UCCCCCCCCACCCUCCGUGACAGAAAUCAGCCUUUGCGGGUCUAUAGUAUGGUGAAGUAUGCUGCCAUAGCUCGGGGGGAUGCAGAGAUUUUUAUGAAGUUUGCAAAGGCUGGAUACAAAGAGAAGAUAUGGGAUCAUGCGGCUGGUGUUGUCAUCAUACAAGAGGCUGGUGGUGUGGUAACUGAUGCCGGAGGUCGUCCAUUAGACUUUUCUCAGGGUAUAUAUCUAGAAGGCCUUGAUCGAGGCAUUAUUGCUUGCUCUGGUGUUAAACUACAUCAGAAGAUCAUCAGGGCUGUUGAUGCUAGCUGGGACUCCUCUAAUCUAUGAUGUUUAUUGUAUAUUUCCAAUGCAUCAAUGGAGCAGACGAUGUCUUUAUUAUUAACAGGGGGAAGGCAGAUUCUGAAAGGUUUGCUGAUGGAGGUCGAUAACCAUUCUUUCAUGCCUUCACAUUCCUCAGUUACUUGCAGAGAAUGGAGUUAUGAUGACCCACCGAGCUGAAGAUAGUAGGUUAUUCCAUUGAGUCGGUUUUUUUUUUUUCUCCUUUUUUUUUUUUUUGGAUUACCCAGAAGCAUCUUACUCUUUGUCUUUGCUCUGUAAUGCAUGAGUGUGCCAUUUUGCAGAAUUUCUUGAUUCUUCAUGUGUGGCAGUUCCCCAUGGAAUACAAUUAUGAAACGCUAUGUACAUACAUAUAUACAUCAAUAUUCUACUUUACUGAUCCUGAUUGCUUUUUGAAA